AGCUCUUCUCAACCUGCUUUUCAAUUUUUACUUUAUUUUAGUCACAACCUUUUCUUCAAACAGUAAAAAAAACCGGGAUAAGAAACUACUUAAAUAACUUCUGGUUUUUUCAGAGAAAAAUUAAGAAAACAUAUCCAAAGAUAGCCCAGUACCAAUCGGCCACCUGCGAGGACUUCGUUUCGUGUCCUCAUCCUCGUCCUCCUCUCCCCUCUUCUAGACUGGCGCGGGGGCGGGGUGGAGAUCCACCCGGCGUUGGACUGAUUCAUGAGAAUGGUGAUCCUCUGUCCUGGGCACACUGUUCCGUCGGUUCAUUCUAAUUUUUUGGCAGGAUGGUUACCGCUGAUUAACAGUCCAAGAAUAUAUUGCCAUAUUCCCCCAAAUGGAAAGAAGCUCAAAAGGCAAAACAGACAUCAGCGGAUGACUUCUUUCUCCAAAGGUUCGUCAUUACAAGUCCUCCCCGACAUGCCGCUCCUCACCGACGCUCCUCCCCGACGCGCUGCUCCUCACAAACACUCCUCAUCAUCGGUCGCUGCCUCCUCCCCAUCGGUAUGUUAGGGUUAGGACAAUUUUGAGAGAUUUUGAUCCUCAUGGGUGAUGGAUGGAUGGAUGCAAAUUUGUGAGUGAAAAAAUGUGAAUGACAAACUAAUUUUGACUAUUAAAUUUGGAAUGUUAUAUAUGUUUUGGACUCAUUGAUGCGGUGCGCUCUGUAUUGCUACCAUGGUGCCUCUGUACUUCUGAUGUUGAUGAUGGUUAUAGUGUCUUGUUGCCUGUGAAUCUUGGCGAUAGGAAUCAAAUCUCUCUGGAAUGAUGGUUAUAUGAACUUAAGUACCACUGUGUAAAUUCACUUGCAUGCUUAAGUAAAUUCACCUUUCUAGGACCAUGCAUGCCUCUGGAAUGUGAAGAUCUGAUGCUCAAUGUAAACAAAAUAUAGGAGAACUUUCAGUCUAAAAACAUAUCAAAACAUAUACUACCACAAACAUUGUAGUUAUGUAUUUAUGUUUUUUGGUAUAGUACUUGGCAUAGAAAAAUCAUAGCUUAACAAAAGAAAGAAUACUAGUAAAAUCAUAUGAUCAUACUUCAGUUCUUUGGCAUAGCAAGACCAGCAUAUGUGCUUAGGAUCACUGUAAGUCAGUAUUGGUGUUAAAGAAACCUGCCAUUGCUGUUUUGCUUCUGUUUUUCUGUGCUUCUGUAGUCAUAUUUUGCUUCUGUGCUCUAGUAGUCAAGUUGCUAUUUUGCCCUUCUAUCGAUGUUGGUCACGCAGUUGGUCAUAUAUGUAUGCAGCUUCUGUUUUGUUGUGAUAUAUUAAUAACAGUCUUGCUUUUACUAGUUAACAUAAUGAACAAGCAUUUUUAUGUGUCAGUAUAUGCAUUUUUAUGUUGAAGAAGAAACAACAUUUCAUAAACCACAAGGCAACUUUUUUACAUUUUUAAUUCCUUUUCAGGCAAUUCUAGAAAUUCUAGCUGGCAAAAUUGCUAGUAUGUAUAAGCAAACUUUCAUAAACUUUGUAUCCCUUUGUACAAUUCCUCUAAUUGAAAUUUUGAGCAAUUCCUCUAAUUAAAUUUGGAUUGUUUGUACCAGCCUGUUCGUGAACUCCAACUAGAAAAUCAUAAUCAAAUCAGGUGACAGCUAAUUAAGAUCCAUAAGAUCCUUUUACAAUUGAAUCAUGUAUUUAUUUUUUACAAUUGAAUCUGGCACUCAUUGCUACAAUGCUGAUUCUGCAUGUUCCCCAAUUUUUUGUAU